rnacentral:rRNA from 1 species
GGACGAACGCUGGCGGCGUGCUUAACACAUGCAAGUCGAACGGAAAGGCCCCCACUUUUUUGGUGGGGGUGCUCGAGUGGCGAACGGGUGAGUAACACGUGGGUGAUCUGCCCUGUACUUCGGGAUAAGCUUGGGAAACUGGGUCUAAUACCGGAUAGGACCAUGGUUUAGUGUCUCAUGGUGGAAAAAUUAUUGUUUUGGUGCAGGAUGAGCUCGCGGCCUAUCAGCUUGUUGGUGGGGUAAUGGCCUACCAAGGCGUCGACGGGUAGCCGGCCUGAGAGGGUGGACGGCCACAUUGGGACUGGGAUACGGCCCAGACUCCUACGGGCGGCAGCAGUGGGGAAUAUUGCACAAUGGGCGCAAGCCUGAUGCAGCGACGCCGCGUGGGGGAUGACGGCCUUCGGGUUGUAAGCUCCUUUCGUUAGAGACGAAGCCGCACCUUUUUUGGGUGUGGUGACGGUACCUUUGUUAAGAAGCACCGGCUAACUACGUG